UACGGGGGGGGCAAGCGUUGUUCGGAAUUACUGGGCGUAAAGGGCUCGUAGGCGGCCAACUAAGUCAGACGUGAAAUCCCUCGGCUUAACCGGGGAACUGCGUCUGAUACUGGAUGGCUUGAGUUUGGGAGAGGGAUGCGGAAUUCCAGGUGUAGCGGUGAAAUGCGCAGAUAUCAGGAGGAACACCAGCGGCGAAGGCGGCGCUCUGGGCCGGAACUGACGCUGAGGAGCGAAAGCGUGGGUAGCAAACAGG
rnacentral:rRNA from 1 species